rnacentral:rRNA from 1 species
CAGGCUUAACACAUGCAAGUCGAGGGGCAUCAGGAAGAAAGCUUGCUUUCUUUGCUGGCGACCGGCGCACGGGUGAGUAACACGUAUCCAACCUGCCCUUUACUCGGGGAUAGCCUUUCGAAAGAAAGAUUAAUACCCGAUAGCAUAAUGAUUCCGCAUGGUUUCAUUAUUAAAGGAUUCCGGUAAAGGAUGGGGAUGCGUUCCAUUAGGUUGUUGGUGAGGUAACGGCCCACCAAGCCUUCGAUGGAUAGGGGUUCUGAGAGGAAGGUCCCCCACAUUGGAACUGAGACACGGUCCAAACUCCUACGGGAGGCAGCAGUGAGGAAUAUUGGUCAAUGGGCGCUAGCCUGAACCAGCCAAGUAGCGUGAAGGAUGAAGGCUCUAUGGGUCGUAAACUUCUUUUAUAUAAGAAUAAAGUGCAGUAUGUAUACUGUUUUGUAUGUAUUAUAUGAAUAAGGAUCGGCUAACUCCGUGCCAGCAGCCGCGGUAAUACGGAGGAUCCGAGCGUUAUCCGGAUUUAUUGGGUUUAAAGGGAGCGUAGGUGGACUGGUAAGUCAGUUGUGAAAGUUUGCGGCUCAACCGUAAAAUUGCAGUUGAUACUGUCAGUCUUGAGUACAGUAGAGGUGGGCGGAAUUCGUGGUGUAGCGGUGAAAUGCUUAGAUAUCACGAAGAACUCCGAUUGCGAAGGCAGCUCACUGGACUGCAACUGACACUGAUGCUCGAAAGUGUGGGUAUCAAACAGGAUUAGAUACCCUGGUAGUCCACACAGUAAACGAUGAAUACUCGCUGUUUGCGAUAUACAGUAAGCGGCCAAGCGAAAGCAUUAAGUAUUCCACCUGGGGAGUACGCCGGCAACGGUGAAACUCAAAGGAAUUGACGGGGGCCCGCACAAGCGGAGGAACAUGUGGUUUAAUUCGAUGAUACGCGAGGAACCUUACCCGGGCUUAAAUUGCAGUGGAAUGAUGUGGAAACAUGUCAGUGAGCAAUCACCGCUGUGAAGGUGCUGCAUGGUUGUCGUCAGCUCGUGCCGUGAGGUGUCGGCUUAAGUGCCAUAACGAGCGCAACCCUUAUCUUUAGUUACUAACAGGUUAUGCUGAGGACUCUAGAGAGACUGCCGUCGUAAGAUGUGAGGAAGGUGGGGAUGACGUCAAAUCAGCACGGCCCUUACGUCCGGGGCUACACACGUGUUACAAUGGGGGGUACAGAAGGCAGCUAGCGGGUGACCGUAUGCUAAUCCCAAAAUCCUCUCUCAGUUCGGAUCGAAGUCUGCAACCCGACUUCGUGAAGCUGGAUUCGCUAGUAAUCGCGCAUCAGCCACGGCGCGGUGAAUACGUUCCCGGGCCUUGUACACACCGCCCGUCAAGCCAUGGGAGCCGGGGGUACCUGAAGUACGUAACCGCAAGGAUCGUCCUAGGGUAAAACUGGUGACUGGGGCUAAGU